CUUUUGUAGCAGACAAUAUUUUGCAUCAUUUCUCAUUACCAUAAUCCCAUUCCCUUCCUGCAAUUCCUUGAAUUUGGACGAGCUCACAUGUGGACACUAUUUAUUACAGCUGUUGUAAAUUAUAAGAAAUACUUUUCUUUGCCACAAGAGAAUUGAAAUACUGAAUUAAAGAAUGAGCUCCAAUAAAACUUCCAAAUCAAUGUCCAAGUCCGGUUCUGAAGUUCUUAAACAAGAAGAUGUUGUUCUUGCUGUUCUAAUCGCUGAUAGUUUUUCAAUACGCUUCGCACCUGUAACUGAUUCAAAACCGAAGGCACUUCUUCCGCUGGUCAAUAGGCCCAUGAUUGACUAUGCCUUGGAAUCUCUACUUCUUAGUGGAGUACAGAAAACCUUUGUUUACUGUGUUGCACAUGCUGAUCAAAUUCGUCAGUACCUCAAAGAAUCUAAAUGGAUGAGAUCUGUGUCUCCUAUGUCCAUUGAAGUUAUUUCUCAAAGCCCUGAUGACUGUCGAUCUCUUGGAGAUUCCCUUCGAGACAUAGAUGGAAAGUCAUUGAUAAGAGGAGACUUUAUAUUGAUGUCUGCUGAUGUCAUUUCUAAUGUACAGCUCAUACCCAUAUUAGAAGAGCACAGAGAAAAGAGGAAAACUGAUAAAGGGAUUGUCAUGACACACAUUUUUAAGAAAUCUUUCCCGGGUCAUCGAUCCCGUUCUGCAGAAGAAGAACUCGUCUUAGCCAUCAAUCCCACCAACGGUCGUAUUCUCAAUUACCAGCAAACAACAAACCUGAAGAAGCUCAGUUUUCCUUUGGAAAUGUUUAAAGAGCACGGUCUUGUUGAUUUGCGCUAUGAUUUGGUUGAUACGCACAUUUCUAUUUGUUCUCCCGUGGUUUUGCCGCUUUUUUCCGACAAUUUCGAUUACCAAACGUGGGGAGAUUUUGUCCGAGGUAUUCUCAUCAACGAAGAAAUUCUUAAUAAUACCAUCUACUACCAUCAGUUGGAAGGAUCAUACGCGGCACAUGUUUCGAACGUUCCCAUGUAUGAUGCUGUGAGCAAAGAUGUUAUUCAACGAUGGGCAUUUCCGCUUGUUCCCGAUUUGAAUCGGAGUGAAACAACUCCUCGACACACUUUAUCACGUCACAAUGUUUACAAGCAGCCUGGUGUCACCUUGGCCAAGGAAAGUGUUUUGGAAAGGGACGUGGCGGUAGGAGAAAACUCUAAAAUAGGAGAACGCACAUUCGUCACCCAGUCCGUCAUUGGCAGCCGUUGCACAAUCGGAAACGACGUGUACAUCAAUAAUGCUUAUAUUUGGGACGAUGUUAACAUCAAGAACAACUGCCACAUUGAAGUAGCUCUCAUCGCCGAUGGUGUUGUGUUAAAUGAAGGAGUCAAAAUCGGCCGAGGCUGUGUCAUUGGACCCGGAGUAGUUUUAGCUGCCGGUACCAAAAUCCCUGACAAUACUCGCCUCAUGGCCCAUCCUCCCAAAUGUGAUAACGACUUUGAAACAUCGGACGAAGAAGAUGAUAAGGUAGCUAAACCGUUUAGUGCCGAUAGUGUCGCUUACGUUUAUCAACGACCCGUCGAAGAAGAUUCCGAUGCAGAGUCUUUGAUUGAUGAAUUAUGGGGCUUGGACAUUGAUGAAGAUUCAGAAAGUGAAGAAGAUGAAGACGAAGACGAAGCUGAUAACGACGAAGAUGAAGAACACGAAGAAGAAGUGGACGUGGGCGACCUGCCAGAGGAUAUGAAUGCUAGAUCAUUUUAUAAUGAAGUCUUGGAGAGUCUUCAAAGAGGCUACGAAGAAAAAAUCAAGGGUGACAACUUGGUUCUUGAAAUUAACUCGUCCAAAUACGCUUAUAACGUUACCAUGAAAGAGGUGAACAUGCUCGUUAUCAAAGCUAUGCUUUCGUUGCCAUCCGUCAUGACUAAGAAGGCCGCCACUGGCACCAACGAAGAUUGGGUCGCUCUAAGGCCGAUAUUGCAGCACUUUCUUCCUGUCAUGAGAAAUUACUUGAAAAACAAUCAGUCGAUGUUGGAUUCUCUCGAGGCUCUGGAAGAAUUUGGAGUUCAUAACUCCCAUUUUGUGAAAUCUAUUUGUAAAGUUCUCCAUUUUUUGUACGGCGAGGACGUGUUGAGUGAGGACGCAAUUUUGGAGUGGUACACCAAUCCACCGAACGAUCCCAGUGCAUUGAAAACUAUCCGGAAAACUGUGGAACCAUUUAUUACAUGGCUGGAAGAAGCGGAAGAGGAAUCAUCGGAGGAAUCGGAUUGAUAAGUCGCACUUGAAUUUGUCCUGGUUUCUGAGAGCUGUAACAAAUAUCGAAUUUAUUGAAGCGUUGGUCACAUAAGUAAUAAGUGUAAUGGUGGCGUAUUUAAGAGUAACCGAUUCAGUUCAUGUCGUGAAAGAAACCAAUUUUGAAAAUC
rnacentral:misc_RNA from 1 species